rnacentral:rRNA from 1 species
UACGAAGGGGGCUAGCGUUGCUCGGAAUUACUGGGCGUAAAGCGCACGUAGGCGGAUUGUUAAGUCGGGGGUGAAAUCCUGGAGCUCAACUCCAGAACUGCCUUCGAUACUGGCGAUCUAGAGUCCGGGAGAGGUGAGUGGAACUGCGAGUGUAGAGGUGAAAUUCGUAGAUAUUCGCAAGAACACCAGUGGCGAAGGCGGCUCACUGGCCCGGUACUGACGCUGAGGUGCGAAAGCGUGGGUAGCAAACAGG